AUACGGAGGGCGCAAGCGUUAAUCGGAAUUACUGGGCGUAAAGGACGCGUAGGCGGGUUGGCAAGUCAGAUGUGAAAUCCUACGGCUUAACUGUAGAACUGCAUUUGAAACUGCUAACCUAGAGUAUGGGAGGGGGAGAUGGAAUUAGUGGUGUAGGGGUAAAAUCCGUAGAUAUCACUAGGAAUACCGAAAGCGAAGGCGAUCUCCUGGAACAUAACUGACGCUAAGGCGUGAAAGCGUGGGGAGCAAACAGGAUUAGAUACCCCAGUAGUCC
rnacentral:rRNA from 1 species